rnacentral:rRNA from 1 species
GUUGGCCUCGGAUCAGGUGGGGAUACCCGCUGAAUUUAAGCAUAUAUAAACCGGGAA